CCUUAAGAACAGUAUAGGUUUCCAGGUGAAUAUGACCGCCAUCUGCCGUUCUCUUCUCACCUUUGCAAAACGUCUCAUCUACCCUACCACACCGCUUCACCCUUCCAGUUCUCAUCCACCCUACCAUACCACCUGAUGCUUCGAACACUCUUCUACCAGAUAACCCCAUUCACGCCGGCGACACAAGCAACUAUUACCGUCGAUUCUUAGGAACAGUUUCCUCAUCUCAGCCGCUGCUUUCUGAUCCAACGUCCACUAUGUGUUCGCCUCUUCUUCCUGGUCGGCCGGUGUUAAAGCUUCUGUGGCAAUCGAAAAGGAUUCAGGUACCUCACGCUAGGGUUUAGUGUUGCUGCUUUUACCCACCCGCCACAAUCGACCUCUUAGGUUUGCCUCUGUAAAUCGCAGGUGGAGAUGGUGUUGGGUUAGGUUAGGGUUUCGCAGGUGGCGAGCGAUGGUGAUUGUGGAAUGCCCGUCUGCAUCUUCCACCUCCACCUUCAACAUCCGCCUCCACACUCACACCUUUGAUAAGGUACUGGAUGUUAGAUCGGAGGUUUGCAUAGCUUCGCCACUGACGGUAAUCAAGCGCCUAAGGUUCCGAUCAAGUUCUGACAACUUUCUGGUAUAGCUCGCGUGCAAUAGCGUUAGAAUGAAGAUCUCGGAUCAGAAGAAUAAAACUUUCUUUUGUCAUACCAUCCCCGGUUAGAGCCCUCUUUAAAUAGAGUGGUAACUAAAUUGUGCUCAUGUUAUUUGAUAGUUUUGUCGGCAACAAACUCGAACACAUGUUUGUUAUUAUGUUUUGUCGGCAACAAACCCAUCCCGGGUUGGUUCCCGCCGCAACGCGCGGGUGGGAACAACCUACUAAUAUAACAAUUUAUGUCGAUCCUUAGGAACAGACAAUUUAUUGGACAAAAUGAAGAUGCAAAUUACGGUUUUGCCAUGUAUACUUUAUAGAAGAGAGUGACUAACAGGGAAAAAACGGGAGUAAGAGAGAGAAAGAGUAUGGUAAAGAGAGAGAGAGAUAUACUUAUGGGCCGGCCACCAAUCCUUAUGGCGGAGACCCGACGACACGCCGGCGGUUCCGGAGGACGAGCGUUUCAUUAGUGAUGUCGGUUCAAUGGUACAGUAUCCAACAAUUGAUUUGGCUUCAAGUCGAGGUCUCCGACGACCUGCAACGGCCGCAUAGUUAGCGUCACGUCGCAAACUGGAACUACGAUUCCGAUCGGUUAUUGUAUCCCCAUCGCCACCACAUCAUCCUAUUGGAACGCGAAACCCUACUCACCAUCUCCGGCGAUUAAGCUUCAAACGCAGAAUCAGUGGCAAAAAGGAACUGGAGAUGUUUAUAGAUCAGAUGUGUGCCAGUGAUGGUUAUGAUAAUGAUAUCAAACUUGCAGAGUGGGAUGUGAAGACUGAAGAGAGAAGGAAGUAACACAAUAAUGGGAAGAGGAUGAUUUGAAUGAUGCUUUAUCUAUGUAGUUGAGGAGGGUGAAAGUCAAGGUAUAAAUCUUGAUCAUGCACCUUUCAGUUUUGCAUAAGUGCUACUGAAACAUUUGUGAUGAAUCAACGUGGAUUUUAAGUUUUGAUACUUUAUUUAAAUAAAAAGUUUAAACCAGAAAUUGUAAAAUUACUUAUUAGUAACUUUUAAAGUGUUCUGCUCGCCUAA